rnacentral:tRNA from 1 species
GCGGGCGUAGUUUAGCGGUAAAAUAUGAGCUUCCCAAGCUUAGGUUGUGGGUCCGACUCCCAUCGCCCGCUCCA